GGUAUCACAUAUUAGAGGAGUGAGAACAAAAAAGAGAUACGGAAGAAAAGGAACAUGGAAAAGAAAUUAGAGUGACAAGGAGGAGAGGGAAACAGACUGAGGGAAUAACAAAACCAGGGCAGAUCCGCCCGAUCUAUCUCCAGAAAACCAGCAUCUUCCACCAUUUUCCUCCAUAAGUUCAGCCAUGUAGGAGCUUCAAAAAUAGAGGUCCGUUUCAGUCCGAAACCCAGCUGUAAACUCACUCCAAAAAUACCUCAAAUCCGCUCCAAAAACAAUAGAAAAUAUCUCAAUAACCAGCCCCCAAACCACCCCGUUAUAGCUUCAAAUACUCUCAAAAACUGUGGGCCUAACUCAACCCCAAAAGCUAGCUUAUGAGGUGAGGAUUGCCUAAACCAUAUGAGGAGACGAAGGACCUCAAAUCUCUCCUAUGUGGGACAACUCAACACCCCUCACGCCCAGACCUUUGGAGCGUGGACAACAUAAAUGGGGGCCCAACAUCGGUAACAAUAAUUGGGAUGAGUCAGUCUCUGAUACCAUGAUAAGAAUAAAAAUUGGGCCUAACUCAACCCCAAAAACUAGCUUAUGAGGUGAGGAUUACCCAAGCCAUAUAAAGAGACCAAGGACCUCAACAGCCCUUGCCAUCAAAACACGCCAAUUUCAGUCGAGUGAGAUUUAAAAUUUCGGGAUUCGAAGUUCGCCUUGCCAGCGAGCCUCGAAUUUCCGAAGAGUCGAUAGAGUUUGCCGAAGCAUCCAUGGUCUGCCGAGUGCUAAAUUCCAUUCCUGUUUAAUUAAUGUCCGUUUUUUUAACUUCUAAAUUUGGAUCUUCAUCUUGGAGUUCAUCUUGUAUUGGUUCGUGUGAAGCUUGAAUAAAGCGAGGCCUUAUUAAUAUGGUUUCGAAUAUCUAAUUUGCUCUUUGGUUUUGAAUACUCUACUUAUUCGCUUUCGGGAAAAAGUUGAAACGUAUAUGACUUGGGUUUAUAUUUGUUUGUUAGUUGAUUUGUAAACAAAUAAAAUUAUAUUAUAGAAAAGGAAAUGGUAGCAGUAAAUAAUUUCUGAAAAAACCAAACUCGUGAACAAGCCAUCAACCACGUCACUCUCAUCAUUAUAAAUACAAGGUCAUACUUUUACAACUUGCCCGGGAGGAGAGGAAACGUAGGUGUUCGUUUCCAAGUGUUAUUUUUUGUAUGAAG
rnacentral:lncRNA from 1 species